AGUGAACGCUGGCGGUAGGCCUAACACAUGCAAGUCGAACGGCAGCACAGUAAGAGCUUGCUCUUAUGGGUGGCGAGUGGCGGACGGGUGAGGAAUAUAUCGGAAUCUACUUUUUCGUGGGGGAUAACGUAGGGAAACUUACGCUAAUACCGCAUACGACCUACGGGUGAAAGCAGGGGAUCUUCGGACCUUGCGCGAUUGAAUGAGCCGCUGUCGGAUUAGCUAGUUGGCGGGGUAAAGGCCCACCAAGGCGGCGAUCCGUAGCUGGUCGGAGAGGAUGGUCAGCCACACUGGAACUGAGACACGGUCCAGACUCCUGCGAGAGGCAGCAGUGGGGAAUAUUGGACAAUGGGCGCGAGCCUGAUCCAGCCAUACCGCGUGGGUGAAGAAGGCCUUCGGGUUGUAAAGCCCUUUUGUUGGGAAAGAAAAGCAGCAGGUUAAUACCCCGCUGUUCUGACGGUACCCAAAGAAUAAGCACCGGCUAACUUCGUG
rnacentral:rRNA from 1 species